ensembl:snoRNA
AUCCCUCUCCGGUUCAUAAACAUGAUGAUUGGGCGUUCACACACUUGGGUGGUGUGUGGCUCCCUUAAAACUUGUUAUGCAUUUGGCACAUUACCCAUCUGAUG